UACGUACCGUCCAAACGUUAUUCGGAAUUACUGGGCUUAAAGGGUACGUAGGCGGCGCUGUCAGUCGGGUGUGAAAUACCUCGGCUCAACCGAGGAAUUGCGCCCGAUACUGCAGUGCUUGAGGGAGACAGAGGUAAGCGGAACUGAUGGUGGAGCGGUGAAAUGCGUUGAUAUCAUCAGGAACACCAGUGGCGAAAGCGGCUUACUGGGUCUCUUCUGACGCUGAGGUACGAAAGCUAGGGGAGCGAAGGGG
rnacentral:rRNA from 1 species